GGGUGCAAUCAUACCAACGUUAAUGCACCAUAUCCCAUCAGAACUCAGCAGUUAAGCAUGCUUGGGCUAGAGUAGUACUAGGAUGGGUGACCUCCCGGGAAGUCCUAGUGUGGCACCCU
rnacentral:rRNA from 1 species